rnacentral:tRNA from 1 species
GCGUCGGUAGUCCCGUAGGGGGCGGGAGCGGACUGUAAAUCCGUCGUCUUCAAUGGCCCCGUGAGUUCGACUCUCACCCGACGCACCA